rnacentral:tRNA from 1 species
UGAAUUUUCUUUGAACCACUUGAACCACUUAAAAAAAAAAAAAAGAGGAGAA